rnacentral:misc_RNA from 1 species
UUUGUUGACCGAGAACUCGGUGGUAGACUACUACUAGCUGAUGGAGAGAGCUCAGAAGUACAUUCGGCUGGAUGAUGAGCGAUAGGCUCUACACGAGGAAAGGAAAUCCAGGCAGAACAAUGAGGCAAGAAGAACUAUGGUUCAGAUCGAAGAUGUUAUAGCUUAGACAAGAACAUCGAGCAGAGCAGAGAAAGAUUCCACAGCUAUAUACCCUUGAAUGAGGCAAGGUCCAGAGUCCUCAUGUGGAUCCAGAAGAAUGGCAAA